GUAAUUGCAAAGGUCUGUGUACGAUAUUUGAUUCAACAUAUAACAAUAAAGUCCAUUUCCCUAAAUUUCUUCUUGAUUAUUUUAAUACAUUUGUUUGUUUGGAAGUUCAAACAUGGCUUCUGCCUAUCAACUCAUGCUGUUGCUAAAAUAUUAUUGAUUUAUUUCUUUUCUAAUUCUGUAAACAGAUUAUUGACAUCUCUGUUAUCUUUAUUUUUGUUUCUUUUUGCUCUUUUUAUGGAGUGAACAAGUUGAUCAUGUAAAAAGAUGGGAAAAGGUUGAGUUGGUGGAUGAAGAACUUAGUUUGUAGUAUAAUUGAACUGACGACUCAUCUCUUCAAACUUAUUUUGUCAUAUACUAAAAUAUGAAUUUAUGUAGAUUUGAUAGUUUUUUUUCCAUCAUUGAAAUUAUCUAUUGGUGUUAGGCACCAUUGAUCUGGUGUGUGUUAACUGUCUGUAAACUGUAAUCAUGCUUGAUAGUAUUUAACUUGCUGCUGACUGCAUGCAAAAAAAGAUGUAGGUAGGAGGGGUAACAGUUUUUUUUUUAAUCAAAUUUAAGGGAGAAGAUAUUCUAUUGCUGAGAUGAAAUGUAAAGGAGCAAAAAGAGGUUCUUAUUUGUUAUCUUCUUGGAUGCACCAUUUUGUUGACAGAUUUGAGAGAUGCCUUUAUCUGAGAAGUAAAAGCAGGGUGAGAAUG
rnacentral:misc_RNA from 1 species